UCUCUGCCCCUGCCACUCCCUUCCAAGAGAUUGGCUGUACUGAGAAGUGUUUCAUGGUAAUGAGCCAAGUUUUAAAGGAGAGAGAGAUAAUAUUAGUGUGUGUGUGUGUGUGUGUGUGUGUGUGUGUGUUUGGGGGAGGGGGAGCGGAGGUGUGGAAAUGGGUCAAGAACACAGGAACACCAAUUCCCAUUCAUCCUGAAUCUCCAGAGCUGACCCUGGGGUGUCACCUUGAGCUAUCAGCAGCUAGGCACUGACUGAAGCAGACAGCCAGGCGAGGAGAGCUGAGGCUGGUAGACACACACUCGGCCUGCACAUUACACUUCACUGCCCUUCUACUCCAUCAUCCACCAGGCAAAAGCAGGGAACCCUGACUUGGAAGUUGAGGUUGCAGCCAAAGUGAUCAAUCGGAUCCUCUGACAUGCUAAUAAUCCCUGUGCUUGUAAACCACCAAGUGAACUGAAGCAGGUACUUCGCUUCUACUCCUGGCCAUGCUAACCCUGGUUCUGUGCCCUGCUGAACAAUCACAAAGCUCAACGACCCUAACGACCUGGAGACUGUUCACACAAGACCCAAGAAUGCCUGGGUUGUGGUCAAGCUGUUUGUGGUUUUAACACUUAAAAACCCUACCCCUACCACAAGUACGUGAGCCCCCUUUCUUAGGAAAGAGGGCUUCACCUGCAAGCUAUUUCCCUCACUCUGAAAUUAAACUUCUGUUUGAUUCCUGA